GGGGUCACCACAGCAGAUCAGUCUUUUCCACCUCAUCCUGUCCUCAGCAUCUUCUGCCUCUGUGCUUUUCCUUCAUGAAACAGAAGCUGAGUGAAACGAUCUGAAAAUAUUCUGGUCAUAAACAAAUGCAUAAAUGCCUUAACUUAUUGUAUAGCAAAACACACACACACACACACACACGGAAUGGAUGAAUAUUGAAUUACGUUGACCACAAAACUAAACUAAACAUGAAAUAUCUUCAUAUCAUACCUCCAGCAAUGGAAUAGAAGUCAAAGUAAAUGUAUUAAGGUUUAUUGCAUUUUUUGUAGUGAGUGCAUAUUUCAUUAUCGUCACGAUCGGCCCGCAACCCUAAAAGUUAUUGGGGUCUGAAAAACCCACUUUUCCCCUAUGCGACCCAGCUCAGCUAAAUUUGGUAGGAGGGUUUGGCUGUGUGUUGCCUGAAUUAGGUCACGAAUGGGCCAGAACACUGAAAGUUACUGGGGUCAGAAAAAUACCUCUCCUCCCAAAAAGGCAAAGUUUUCAACUGAUCCAGUGCUUUUCCAUUUUAUGGUCAAAAUACAAACUGUAUUUAUGUAUAAAUUUGGGGUGAUUAUCCACAGCAUCAAUUAUCAGUCAAAUCAAAUAUACUUUACUGUCCCUGCAGGGAGUGUCAACCUCUGCCAUCUGCACCAAAAACUUAAUUACAGAUUUAUUUCACAAGAAAUUGUUGUCUUCACCAGUAAUUUUAUUUUAUUUAUUUUUUUUAGAACACUAGCAAAACGUAAUCACAGGGUUCUCUGGGUAUUGAAGGAAUACACUUUAGGACUUUGAGGUUCGGUAAUAAAGUUUAACACAAUACCUGAUUCUGCAUCUUUGUUAGAGAGCAUGAAAAACCCAGAAUGAGAAUGGAUGCAAACAUUUAUGUAACACAGUGGCAGUGAUAGUACAAACUCAUUUUUGGACAGUGCAAAUGUACAAAAUUCUUUGACAUGUUCUGCUGUUUUUACUUUGAAACUGAUAAAAUUGUUUGUUAAACAAUACACAAACCAGAAUCUUAAUGAAGUUUUUUUGUAAUGUAGAAUUUUUCAAACAUAUUUUAAUAAAUAUUCACAUAUUUGUUGCACUAUAUUAUAUCUAGCCUGCAUACUCAUCCAGGUUUAUUUCACAAUAAAUUAAUGAUUUAAUAUAUUUUUCACAACAGAUGUAAACAAACAUCGCAGUUUAACCCUAUAAUGCCGUAUACAUCAUUUUUGAUACAUUUCUUGGGUCAGGCAUUGCCGGCUUAAAAAAGAAAAUCAUGUCUAAAAAAUAUAAAUGUGCAUCUCUUCACACGUGCACUGCUUCUGUAGUUUUAAAUGAAGAAAACAGAUUUGAUUUUGACAGAAUCAAAUCUGUUUUGACAUUAAACUGCAAAACUGAAUACCGUAUUUUCAGUGUACAAGUCAAGGUUUUUUUUCUCCCAUUUUUGAGGCCCUGCAGCUUAUACUCGGGUGCAACUCAUAUACGGAAAAAUCAUGCAUGUUAUUCAUAAUAAUUAUAGUAACUAUUUAUGUAAGAAUUUCACAGUAAUUUAAGCACUAAACAAAAUACACUCCAGCAAUUAAAGAAUAAAUAUUAAUGAUGCACACAACAACAAUGCACAAAAAUCCCAACUUAAAGUGCUGACAAUACAGAAAAAAGGUGCGACUUAUACUCUGGCAAAUAUGGUAUCUAUUGCUGUGAGAUGGUUACACUUAUACAUAUGAUAUUAUUUAUUUCAACCAUGUUAUUAAAAUGGAAGCACACAACAUUUAAUCACGUCAUUUUCCUCCUCAAGCAGCUUCCCAUAAACGCAGCACAAAAAACGAGCCACGUGCUGUUCGGCACGCACGAACAAAACUGCAAUACAUUAUCUAUAUCACCAGUUUUACUUCAGCCCCCAGCAAUAAAAACCGUGGCACAACUCAUGAUGUUUUCACGUCUGUACGUUUACAUCCCACUGUAACGGAUCAACAUGUAGCGGUUGGUGAUAAUCAUUUUGUACCCAACGUGUCAGUGUUUUGUGAUGUUUUUUGACAGAAUACUCAGCGAGGACAGUGAGGUUAAACAAUAAAAAAAUAAAAAUUUGCACUUUUUGUGGCAUGUUGGCGGAACCAGAGGUAAGUAUGUGAGCAUCACAGGUGUAACGUGUUAUUACAUUAUUUGCGUUGUACCCGUGUCGCUGAGCACGCUGAGGUGAAAAACACCCAAUCAUGGGAAGAUGAACUAUAAUAAACAGGAAUAUAAUCAUUUAAUAUAAUAUUACUCUGACAUAGCUUUUCUAUAUUAUGAGUACUUUUACUUUGUACUUUAAAUAUAUUUUUAUUGUAUUACUUUUGUAGUUUUUCUUGCAGGAGUUUUACUUUGUUUCUUCCCGUUGGAACACUCCUGUCCAGCUGGUGGAAGUAAUGCACUGAACAGGUUUGCUAACCACCAUUAGAGUUACAUUAAGAAGACAAUGCUAACGUCACGCUAACUUAGCAAUAGUAACGUCUGCAGUAGUGUUAUUUGUUUGAACUACUGGUUAAUCGCUGUGCAUAAUCUAACACUUGUUAACAUUGCAUAAAACAAUAUUCUCACAGCACCUGGAUGUUGAGCAGCUACAUAGCCGACAUGAAAACAAUUAUUCUGGUGUUUUUAAACAUGCCAAAAAUUCCACAACAGAAUCAGAAGACCAUAAUAUACUGGUGUCCUCCUGAUACACACCAAAAACUACAAACCCAAACAAAUUUCCUAUCAAAUCGGCUGAAUUAUGUGUUGUUGGAGAAGUUGUGCUCAAACGAGCCAAACAAAACUACAAAGAUGGCCGCAGACAUAUCCAAAGUAAUUUUGCCAUAUUUUCCACAUUUCCCAGGUAAAAUAAAUAAAUAAAUAAUUUGUACAGCAUGGUCUUCUGUUUUCCAGAAAUUUUACCCUUUUGCCUGAAAAAAUGUAAAUGUGCAAAUAUGCGUGAAGGAAAAUGUCUGUGCUCCACUCUGAUCUCAGCGUUUUCAGCUCAAGUCAAAAAUAAUAUUUUAUAUUUACAACAUGAUGCUAUUGAAGAAGUGCGUUUUAGGCUGUUCUACAAAAAUCUUAUUUUUUUCCUCCCUAAAACAGCUGCACAAAUGAUGGCAAAUUUAAGUAGAACGAGGUCUUAAUUUACUGUUAAAGAACAUGAAUGUUGUGGUAGUUUCAUUUAAAUAUACAAACAGGAAUAACAUAUGGUAUUUGUUCAGACAGCGGGCAUUAAACUUGAAAUGGUGUCUGGUAAAUGCUUGUGCGCAAGAGGCUAAAUAAAGGAUCUUUUUUCUCACACAUACAGACUUGAGAAGCAGCUACUUGAACAUCGUCAGGCAGUAUUUGUUAGGUCUAAUCAAAGUACAUGUAACAUUCAUUUACUGCAAAAGCUAAGCAGCUAUACAAUUUUUUUUUUUUUUUUUUUUUAUCAUUCUGAAAAAGAUUCGUUGUCUGUCUGACUGUUAAGUAGUCAGGCCUGAACACGCUGCAGUCCGGUCCAUCGUAUAGUCCAUGCAGGUCUUUAGCAGGUCCAGUCUGUGAGGACCAGCUCACAAUGUCCAGAGAAGAAAUCAACAAA